GGACAUGAGGGCAAUCUGGUUGUGACAUCACCCCAUUGAUCUCCAGAGCUGACUUGACUGAUCUGGCUGGGUAGUUGAGUGUCUGUCCCCUUCCUCCCUUACUUCUCCAUUUGCAUCCCUCCCAAGGCUGUGUGCUGUGUGGAAGUUGACCUUCUCUGACAGGGAAGGACCAUUCUUUGGUCAAGAGUAUAUAAGUGCCGGGCACUGCUGGCUCACGCCUGUAAUCGUAGCUACUCAGGAGGCAGAGAUCAGGAAGAAGCCAGCCCUGGCAAAUAGUUUGUAAGACUCUAUCUUGAAAAUACCUAGCAUA
rnacentral:sRNA from 1 species